rnacentral:rRNA from 1 species
UACGUAGGGUGCGAGCGUUGUCCGGAAUUACUGGGCGUAAAGAGCUCGUAGGUGGUUUGUCGCGUUGUCCGUGAAAACUCACAACUCAAUUGUGGGCGUGCGGGCGAUACGGGCAGACUGGAGUACUGCAGGGGAGACUGGAAUUCCUGGUGUAGCGGUGGAAUGCGCAGAUAUCAGGAGGAACACCGAUGGCGAAGGCAGUGUUCUGGGCCAGUACUGACGCUGAGGAGCGAAAGCGUGGGGAGCAAACAGG